AGAGUUUGAUCAUGGCUCAGAUUGAACGCUGGCGGCAGGCCUAACACAUGCAAGUCGAACGGUAACAGGAAACAGCUUGCUGUUUCGCUGACGAGUGGCGGACGGGUGAGUAAUGUCUGGGAAACUGCCUGAUGGAGGGGGAUAACUACUGGAAACGGUAGCUAAUACCGCAUAACGUCGCAAGACCAAAGAGGGGGACC
rnacentral:rRNA from 1 species